rnacentral:rRNA from 1 species
UACGUAGGGAGCAAGCGUUGUUCGGAAUUACUGGGCGUAAAGGGCGCGUAGGCGGCCUUCUAAGUCGAACGUGAAAUCCCCGGGCUCAACCCGGGAACUGCGUCCGAGACUGAAAGGCUUGAAUCCGGGAGAGGGAUGUGGAAUUCCAGGUGUAGCGGUGAAAUGCGUAGAUAUCUGGAGGAACAUCGGUGGCGAAGGCGGCAUCCUGGACCGGUAUUGACGCUGAGGCGCGAAAGCCAGGGGAGCAAACGGG